CAGAUUUAAAAUCAAACCAUUUUUUCAUGUAGGCUGUGUGAGUCAUAGCCGGGGGAGGUGUAGCUACAUAAACAGGUGUGGCUCAAAAGUGUGGAGCCCCUCAAAAGUGAUUUAACUGGAAGGAUGAGCCCCUCACUUAGGGACUGAAAAAAUAGCAGAAUCCCUUAACUUUAGGGUAAUGCCGCUUAAACACUUCCAAUGCUAUAAGUAUUGGGAAAGUGGCAUGUAUACUAAAUGUCUACCUUAACAUUAGGAGUCUCAACAUUAGUA